rnacentral:rRNA from 1 species
GUGCCAAGCAGCCGCGGUAAUUCCAGCUCCAAUAGCGUAUAUUAAAGUUGUUGCAGUUAAAAAGCUCGUAGUUGAACCUUGGGUCUGGCUGGCCGGUCCGCCUCACCGCGUGUACUGGUCCGGCCGGACCUUUCCUUCUGGGGAGCCGCAUGCCCUUCACUGGGCGUGUCGGGGAACCAGGACUUUUACUUUGAAAAAAUUAGAGUGUUCAAAGCAGGCCUUUGCUCGAAUACAUUAGCAUGGAAUAAUAGAAUAGGACGUGCGGUUCUAUUUUGUUGGUUUCUAGGACCGCCGUAAUGAUUAAUAGGGAUAGUCGGGGGCAUCCGUAUUCAAUUGUCAGAGGUGAAAUUCUUGGAUUUAUUGAAGACGAACUACUGCGAAAGCAUUUGCCAAGGAUGUUUUCAUUAAUCAGUGAACGAAAGUUAGGGGAUCGAAGACGAUCAGAUACCGUCGUAGUCUUAACCAUAAACUAUGCCGACUCGGGAUCGGUGGGCGUUACUAUUUUGACUCCAUCGGCACCGUACGAGAAAUCAAAGUUUUUGGGUUCUGGGGGGAGUAUGGUCGCAAGGCUGAAACUUAAAGAAAUUGACGGAAGGGCACCACCAGGCGUGGAGCCUGCGGCUUAAUUUGACUCAACACGGGGAAACUCACCAGGUCCAGACACAAUAAGGAUUGACAGAUUGAUAGCUCUUUCUUGAUCUUGUGGUUGGUGGUGCAUGGCCGUUCUUAGUUGGUGGAGUGAUUUGUCUGGUUAAUUCCGAUAACGAACGAGACCUUAACCUGCUAAAUAGACCAGUCGACUUUGGUUGACUGCUGUCUUCUUAGAGGGACUAUCAGCGUUUAGCUGAUGGAAGUUUGAGGNCAUAACAGGUCUGUGAUGCCCAAGGGCGAAUUUCGUUAAACCUGCCAGACUAG